AUGCUCUGUAAGUUUACUGGGUCACAAUGGAAAAUGGCCCUCUUCAAGCCUGCGGAUGUGAUUCUGGAUCCCAAAACAGCAAACCCCAUCCUCCUUGUUUCUGAGGACCAGAGGAGUGUGCAGCGUGCCAAGGAGCCCCAGGAUCUACCGGACAACCCUGAGAGAUUUGAUUGGCAUUAUUGUGUUCUCGGCUGUGAGAGCUUCAUGUCAGGGAGACAUUACUGGGAGGUGGAGGUAGGGGACAGGAAAGAGUGGCAUAUAGGGGUGUGUAGUAAGAAUGUGCAGAGAAAAGGUUGGGUCAAAAUGACACCUGAGAACGGAUUCUGGACUAUGGGACUGACUGAUGGGAAUAAGUAUCAGAUUCUCACUAAGCUCAGAACCAACCUGACACUUCCUGAGCCCCUAGGAAAUCGGGAAUCUUCCUGGUCUAUGAGACUGGAGAUAUGUCAUUCUGCAAUGCUACGGAUGGGUCACAUAUUCACAAUUUCCUGAAUAUCUCCUUUUCUGGGCCUCUGUAUACCACUUUCAGAAUUUUGACCUAGGAACCCACUGCCCUGACCUUUGCCCAGCACCAAAAGAAGUAGAGAGUUCCCUCAUUCCUGACCUAGUGCCUGAUCAUUCCCUGGAGACACCAGUGGCCCAAGCUUAGCUAAUGAAAGUGGGAAGCCUCAGGCUGAAAUAAUGUCUCUACUUCUCUCUGCCCAGCCUGAAUCUGAGGGUCUCCUUCUCCACAGCAACCAAUCACAACCAUAAAGCUACAGGCACACACUGAAGAACGCUACUGAUAUUCAUUCUAUUUUAUUCUGUAUACCAAAUAUAGAGUUUCAUACCACUUUAUUGUCCCCUUUAUGCAGAUACGGAAACUGGGGUACAGAAAAGUGAAUUAACUUUCCAAAUUUGGCAUGACUAGUAAACAACAGAGCUGGGAUCUAAACAGCAAUAACUAACAUUAAUGGAGAAUUUAAAAUGUUCUGAGUGCUGUGUUAUGAGCUUUGGUGGAUGUCACUCCUUUAAUCCUCACAACACCCUGUCGGGUAGUCUCAUUUUGCAAGUAUGGAAGCUGAGGCAGGGCAACAUUAAGUAGCUUACAUAACUCCUACGGUAAUUUGUGCUGUUGGGAGAUGGUCAGCUUCAGUCUCUGGCCAUUUGCCCAUUCUUUUCCACCCUGAUUCUUCCCCCAUGGGAAAAACCCACCUGUAGCCCUGAGGUUCUUUUCCCAGGACAGCUCCAGGGUAAGGAUCAUUGUAGGUGGUUGUGGAGUUGGCACUCCUUUUGACUCCUUUGCAGCUGAUUGUCAGAGCAAUAGACCCAGCACUCCUUGGAUUAGCUCUGCAGAGUGUCUUGGUUGAGAGAAUAACCUCACAGUACCCACGUGACGUGUAACUGGGAAAGAGACUAAAGGCCACAUGACAUGUAACUGGGAAAGAAACUAAAGGCCACACUCAAUGUAUAAUGAAGCCCUGGUAGGUAACAGAGCCUCUGGGAGGUAAACAGUGUGAAUUAGGAUUUGAGUUGACUUUGAAGGCUAGCAUGUCAAGUCUCCUAAAAACCAUCACCUCCUAUGGGUGGUAGAGAGUGGUAGUUAUGGAAGACCUAAACUAGAAAGAAGGGUCAAUAUCUUUAGGUCAAAGGGUUUCUUAGGCUUCUGCCCCCUUGGCAGGAGGGACUCCUUCCUGCCUAGGGGAUUUUCCAAGGGACAGAGCUGGGGAAAAUCCUUAUUGAUACACACCCAUAAUUCAUUCAACAAAUGCUCGAGAAUCAUAUUGUAUGUUCAAGACACUGUUCUAGAAACCGAGGGUAAAUCAUUGAGCAAACUAUAUUAAGAUCUCUUCUCUCAAAAAGUGGUUAAAUAAUUAACCAUAUAUUCUAUCAGAUGGUGAUGAAUAUCUGUAGGAAACAUUAAGCAAGGAAGGAAAAGAGAGGUAGGGGCAUGAGACAGAUAUGUACCCCCAACAAAUGUGAUAAGUGAUCGUGGAGCCAGAGCCAGCCUUCCUAUAGUCAAGGUUUCCAGGUAGAACAAAUACUCUGUGAUAUAAGAAAUUUGGAUGAAGGAAGCUGGAAGAAUUACAGGGAUAUUUUUAAUCCCUCUAUGGAUUCAGUCUGCUGGAAAGGGGUCUGUCCACCCCUGUUCAUUAGUGGAUGUUAAACCCAUAUUCCUUUCAACUGAUGCCUGCUUGGGAAAACUACUCCUCAUUAUCAUCACUAUUGUUGCUCACCAUUGUAUCCCCUCUUCUUGGCAUGUGCUUGUCAAGUCUUGGUUGUUCAAUAAAUUUGUUAAUAAUGCUUA